rnacentral:lncRNA from 1 species
AUGGCAUUUCCCAGGCUAGGGGUCCAAUUGGAGCUACUGCUGCUGGCCUACACCACAGCUCACGCAACACCUGAUCCUUAACCCACUGAGCAAGGCCAGGGAUCGAACCCAAAACCUCAUAGUUCCUAGUCGGAUUCAUUUCCACUGCACCAUGACGGGAAUUCCACCAAUUAUGGAAAUCUUCUAUAAUUACACCGUUCAGUGUGGCAACUACUAACCACUUGGGGCUACUUGAAAAGUGACUAGGGUGACUGAAGAACUGAAUUUUUUAAAUUUUAUUUAAUUUUAACUAAUCUUAGUACAAACUUAAAUAGCUACAUGUGGGUGGUACUACCACAGCGGACAAAGUUGUAAAGUGCUAAUGGUCCAUAUUAAUCAGGGAAAGUAUCUUACUCUAGCAUCCAGAAGCAACCAAUACUAAUUUUCUCAGAUGUCUCACUUUUUCCCUUCAUUCCCUUAAAAAGAGAGAGCUCCCCCUCUUUUUUUUUUUUUUUUGUCUUUUUGCCAUUUCUUGGGCCACUCCCGCGGCAUAUGGAGGUUCCCAGGCUAGAGGUCCAGUCGGAGCUGUAUUGUGACCUACGACACAGCAGCAGCAACACCAGAUCCUUAACCCACUAUGCUGCCCUGGGGAUUGAACUUGAGUCCCAGUGCUCCAGAGACAUAGCCAAUCCUGCUGCACCGAAGCAGCAACUCUGUCUCGUCUGCUUUUUUGUUUUUUUUCGGUCUUUUUGUCUUUUUAAGGCCACACCCUGGCAUAUGGAGGUGUGCCCCUAAAAAGCCAAAAAGUCAAAAAAAAAAAAAAAAAAUUAUCAAGUGAAAACUGCCUAAGUAUCCAUCAAAAGGGCACUGGUUAAGUAAAUUAUAAGAUGGAAUAUUACAUAAUCACUAAAAAAAAAAAAAGUUAAAGAGACUAGAAAUAUUAGGGGUUAAAAACAAGUUACACGUGAAUAUAUGUCCUUAUGUGCAGAGUACCUAGAAGAAUACUAACAGUAAUUGUACCUCAAGAGUUAGAUGAAAUAAGCUGAGACAGGAACUGAACGUUACCCCCACUGAUAGAAGAGUAAUUUUUUUCUUGCUUUUCUGGGCCACACCCACAGCAUAUGGAGGUUCUAAGGCUGGGGGUUGAAUUAGAGCUACAGCUGACAGCCUACACCACAGCCACAGCAAUGCAGGAUCCAAGGCACGUCUUCAACCAACACCAGAGCUCAGAACACCAGAUCCUUAAUCCACUGAGCAAGGCCAGGGAUCAAACCCACAAUUUCAUUGUUCCUAGUUUCCACUGCGCCACGAUGGGAACUCCCAGAAGAGUUAAUUUUCAAAAACAAAAUAUUAGGUCAGGAGAUUCCACCAUGGCUCAGAGGUAACAAACCCAACUAGAAUCCAUGAGGACUCGGAAUCGAUCCCUGGCCUCGAUCAGUGGGUUGGGAAUCUGGCGUUGCUGUGAACUGUGGUAUAGGUUAAAGCUGCAACUCAGCUCCUGCAUGGUUGUGGCAUAUGUAAGCCAGCAGCUAAAGCUCUGAUUCAACCCCCUAGCUUGGCAACUUCCAUAUGCCCCAGGUGUGGCCCUACACACACACACACACAAACAAGGUCAGUAAAGUCUUUUUGCAUAUUCCAAGAUUCUCUCUAUAAAAAAUUCCAAUCUAUGGAGGUCUGUGUGAACCUCACUCACUGUGUAGAAGAGUUAAUUUAACACAGAAGGCCAGAGAUUGCUAUGCUUAGGAAGAGCUUGCCAGGUUAGCCCUUGGAUGGUGUCAAAACUUGGAUUUUCAGACAACUAAUCCUCAGUGCUAGAACUAGUAAGAGUGGCUCACUGUGCCUAAACUGUACCCCAAAGAGGUGGUUCAUGUUGAAUACCCACCUUCCUUCUGGGAACCUGGAAUUUUGGUAUCUGGUAGGCAGAGGGUGCCGACAUGACCAACCCAGGUGACAAGUCUCUAAUGAGCUUCCCUGCCAGGCAACAUUUCAUACACAUGCGGUCACAACUGCUGGAGGAAUGAAGUGUGUCCUGUAUGACUCCACUGGGAGAGACAUUAGGAGAGGCUCAUAUGCUUGGGAGAAUGAGCCUAGCUUCCUCUGGACUUCACCCCAUAUGCAUUUUCCCUUUCCUAAUCUUGCUUUGUAUCCUUUUGUUGCAAUAAAUCAUAGCCCUGAGUACAAUUAUAUGCCAAGUUAUGGAAGUCUUUCUAGGGAAUUACUAAACCUGGGGUUGGAGGUAGUCCUGGGACCCCCACCCCAACAUACUCAUUCUACUAGUAGCCAAGAGGAAAUGCCUUCUAAACUUAACUGGGACUCAAUUUAUGGGUUUCCUUUCCACAUGUGCAGAAUUCAGUUCAGAAUUUAGUAUUUUAUCAUAAAGACAAUCCUAGAUGCUAUAUGGAUUGGCUUGGGUAUCUUUUAGGGAAUAGAGAGUAGCAGUCUUAUGAGAUGUUCACCAAAUCGGUUUCCUCUUCCUAGCUAAACAGCUAGACCGUAUUUCUCAGCCUCUCCUGCAUAGGUGUGACCAAGCCUCAAAGAAGUGCAGGCCAAAAUACUAGCCACUCCCAGACCUGAUCCAUAAAACCUCCUACUCAUGAUCAUCUGGUUCUUUCACCAACUGCCAGCUGAAUGAAUAGAACUCCCAAGACCUAGAAGAGGACAGUGCCACAGAUGGAAGGAGCCUGUGUUCUUGAAUUACUACAUAAAAGGCAACCUAAUAAACAUUCUCAAUGAAAGUUAUCUGAGUAUAAAUGUUUGCUCUGCUAAGGCACUGGUAUUUUGAGGUUGUUUGUGGCCAACACUAGCCUGCUUUGCCUACCAACAAAGGAUAUGAUCAGGUUAAAAAUUUUAGACGUGUGGAGUUCCCGUCGUGGCGCAGUGGUUAACGAAUCCGACUAGGAACCAUGAGGUUGCGGGUUCGGUCCCUGCCCUUGCUCAGUGGGUUAAAGAUCCGGCGUUGCCGUGAGCUGUGGUGUAGGUUGCAGACGCGGCUCGGAUCCCGCGUUGCUGUGGCUCUGGUGUAGGCCGGUGGCUACAGCUCUGAUUCAACCCC